rnacentral:rRNA from 1 species
UACGGAGGGGACUAGCGUUGUUCGGAAUUACUGGGCGUAAAGCGUGCGUAGACGGUUACAUAAGUCGGGUGUGAAAGCCCCGGGCUCAACCUGGGAAUUGCAUUCGAGACUGCGUAGCUAGGGUGCGGAAGAGGGAAGCGGAAUUUCCGGUGUAGCGGUGAAAUGCGUAGAUAUCGGAAGGAACACCAGUGGCGAAAGCGGCUUCCUGGUCCAGCACCGACGUUCAGGCACGAAAGCGUGGGGAGCAAACAGG